AUGUUGCGAUAUGACCUUGAAGACCAGCUCUCAACCAUUUACACGGAUGAAGAGGCCUACUAGUGACUGCGCGGUACCCAACGGUGGGUGCUUGGGGGUGAUGCCAACACCGCCUAUUUCCAGGCGGUGGCGAACGGCCGGCGACGUCGAAACUCCAUCCACUGCCUAUGGGACGGAGACACGCCUCUCGUUCGCCCCACGGCCAUCCGUGCCCAUGUAGACGGCUUCUAUAAAGCCAUAUUUACCCCCAUCCCUCGGGGUGGGGCUAGUCUCGCCCCCGACAUUUGGUCGGGUGAUCAAUUGGUCUCUGUUGAGGCCAAUGCGGCAUUAGUGGCCCCCUUCGCCGAGGACGAGGUCCUCGCGGCUAUUAAGGGGAUGAACCCCUCCUCGGCCCCGGGACCGGAUGGCCUGCCCGUAACGUUCUUCAAAAUGUUCUAG
rnacentral:rRNA from 1 species